AGUGAACGCUGGCGGUAGGCCUAACACAUGCAAGUCGAACGGCGGCACAGUAAGAGCUUGCUCUUACGGGUGGCGAGUGGCGGACGGGUGAGGAAUACAUCGGAAUCUACUUUUUCGUGGGGGAUAACGUAGGGAAACUUACGCUAAUACCGCAUACGACCUACGGGUGAAAGCAGGGGAUCUUCGGACCUUGCGCGAUUGAAUGAGCCGAUGUCGGAUUAGCUAGUUGGCGGGGCAAAGGCCCACCAAGGCGACGAUCCGUAGCUGGUCUGAGAGGAUGAUCAGCCACACUGGAACUGAGACACGGUCCAGACUCCUACGGGAGGCAGCAGUGGGGAAUAUUGGACAAUGGGCGCAAGCCUGAUCCAGCCAUACCGCGUGGGUGAAGAGGGCCUUCGGGUUGUAAAGCCCUUUUGUUGGGAAAGAAAAGCAGCAGGUUAAUACCCCGCUGUUCUGACGGUACCCAAAGAAUAAGCACCGGCUAACUUCGUG
rnacentral:rRNA from 1 species